ACUCCUACGGGAGGCAGCAGUGGGGAAUAUUGCACAAUGGGCGCAAGCCUGAUGCAGCCAUGCCGCGUGUGUGAAGAAGGCCUUCGGGUUGUAAAGCACUUUUCAGUGCGAUGAGGAAGGUAGUGUAGUUAAUAGCUGCAUUAUUUGACGUUAGCGACAGAAGAAGCACCGGCUAACUCCGUGCCAGCAGCCGCGGUAAUACGGAGGGUGCGAGCGUUAAUCGGAAUUA
rnacentral:rRNA from 1 species